AGGUAUUUUCAAUUCAUCUGCAUGACUUGGUAUUUGGCAAGAUGAUUCUCGGUGAAUGGGCUGCUUAUGGUGUCCACAAAGAAGUCUUUUGGCCAGCUCUGGGCAGAGAAACCACACAGUUACCGUCUCCACCAUGUGCAGUAUCAGAGGGACAUAGAUCCAGGUGUCCUGCCCUCCCCUGGCCGGAGUGAUUGUGUGACCAAGCUAGGGACACCCUCAGAAUGACCUCUGGCAGCUGAGCCCUGACAAGACUCCAGAAUGAGUCCUGCUUCUCCUAAGACCCCUGGAUGUGCCCAGGUUCCAGAAUUGGCUGAUCCCCAUGGCUCAGAUGCUCCAGUUCCUCGCAGGCAUCAGAAGCCCCCGUGAUAGCAUGCUUGGCAGAUGGUCCGUGCCCAUGGCUUUACCUCCCAUCUGCACAGGAAAGCACCCAUCAAAGCUACUCAUACGUCCACAUGGCAUCUCCACCUGGUUGGUUGGACAACAACAUCUCAAACACAGCAUGCCCCAAAGUGAAACAAUCAUCUUCCCCCAAGCAUGCUUCUCUUCCCAGCCCACAAGCCAGAGCCCCUGGAAUCUGCCACCCAUCCUUCCCUCCCCUCAGCCAGAAUCUAUUUUCUCAACAUGAUCGAUAUGACUAUUGAUCAGACUUGCAGAAUUGCUUGGAAGGGGAAAAAAAGCCUGCACAUCUGGUCACAGGAAUGUGAACAUGAUAGAAGCCCAGUAUGAGAGUAACGGAGAAAGAGACUAUUUUUUGUUUGUUUGUUUGUUCAAAAACAUUCAAAUAUGGAGCUUCAGUGGAGAAAAUUAGAGGAGGAUUUUGAACAAAACUGUAGGAGCUGAUAUUUUGUUAUUCUUUCUUUCAGUUGUAUCUUUUAAGUGCAUGAAAAUGUUUUUUUUUUAAUUACAUUGGACGCUCUGUACCUUAGGGCUCCUGGGUGGUUCUCUGGGGAGAGGUUUGGGUUUCUCUUUUCAGAUGGUUGGUCUGCAAGGGAUGAUGCUCUAGGACAGGCGAUGCCUACACCUACCCACCUUGAAGUCAGUUCCAGAAAGCCAAGAGUCAAAACGAGCCAAGGAAAUGGAAAUUUGUAGACCUCGAGGGAAAGAGUUAUUUAAACACAAGUUCUGUUGACCUAGGAGAUUCGUGGGCGGUACUUAUGGGAAAGGUGGAAAGACAUGCGUAAAAGGAGAAGUGUUUUAAAGAAGUUCAGUUUGUCUUUGCCCUCACUCCCUGUUGCUGACGUCAGGCUGGAGAACAGAGACUAAUGAUGAGGACCACAGAGGUGGGAGUCCCAGAGGAAACGACGGGAAGCGGAGGCGACAUGAAUAUAUUUAUAAGAACAUGUUCAUAAGACUAUAGCCUUAAGAUGAUAUAGUCAUUGAAUAUAGUUAACUCAUUUAAAAAUAUAUUCAAGAAAAAUAUGUGCACAAAUAAUAUUUUUGCAUUUAAACGAGUCUGCUUGCUAUAUUCUUAUGAGUAAAAAUCCAUUAAUGAAGAAUAUAUUUGUAGGACACUUCCUAUUGAAGACAAUCUCACAUAUAAAUUUUCUGGAGCCCUCAGUGUCUCCUGCUGUACACCUAGGUCUUGUUAACUGCUCUUCUUUUGUUUCUUUAACCUAAACAGUUCCAGAGCCUUCCUCUUUCCUCCUGGAUGUGGCUUGUAGGUUUCUUAUCAGUUUGCACUUCUUCUUGUCAUAUACACACCAGUUUGCCCACGUCUUUCUUCCAGACUGGCUUCAGGGCAGGCUGAGCCUUAAGUAAAUAAGUGAAAUAUGGGGACAGGCAUUUCCUUAUACUCAGACCCUAUGCUCCUAUUAAUCAUCAUUGUAAUUAUUAUUAUUAAUGCUAUCUAAAUAUGUGUUCAUUUUCUUAAUGACUGCCCAUCAUAGUGAGCUCGGGCUAGGCGUAUAGCCUGGUAACCCCCUCACACCUUGUCCACAUGACUUGCCUCUGUCCUGGGGAAGAGAUUCUUUACUCUAGCCCUGUGACCCUUGAAAAAUAACAGGUACUCCAUCUUUGUUUUCCAAGCCCUUAUCUUUGAGUGGGAAGAAAAGAUUUGAGAUCAGACAUCAUUUGUAAAUGAGAGUUUAUACUACUGAUGUUUUAAAAUUGUUUUGGAAGCAUCGGGUACUCAUACACAGUUUGGCAAUAGUUCUCAAAUUUGUAGACUGUGCUUACUAUCAGUUUUAUAUAAAUCCUGGCAACACCACGUCUUGAUGGCUUGAAUCUGUUUGUGCGUGAUCCUACCGCCCUUGAGCAUUUUCCUGUUUAUUAAAUCACAUCAUGCUUUUGUUGGAGUUGGAGUGGCAAACUCUGGGACUUAAUUAGAUUUUUAUUAGGCAUGGAAAAAAAAAAAAGCACAUCACGUUUCCAGUGUUUUCACCUGAACUUGAAGGCAUUUCUCUUCCUAGUCUAGAAUCCGAGUGUGCCUUCAACCUGCUUAUUUCAUUCUGACUUUCCUUGCUCAAGGCACACGUCAAAAUUAGCCUUUCAAUGCUGAUUUAAUCUCUGUCGUAAUUACAUGGCUCUUUACACUUGAGACUUAAAUUCUUGAUUUGGGCUAAAAAGCGACGAAGCUGCUGGAAAUAAAAAUAAAUCUAUUUAAUACUUUCGAAAGAAUCCCAUGAUAGUAGGAGGCAUUAUGCACGGAUUCAGUUAGCUAGAGGUGGUUGCUCAUUUGGGCGGGCGGCUGACGCAGGCACUGACAUGCUCCAGCUGGCGAAUCUAGUCUGGAGCAGAUGGGCCAGGCCCUUAAGGGAGAACAGGAAGAAUCCUACAAACCGAGGUUUAAGCCUCUGCUCCUCUAGGAUUCAGGUUCCCGUCUGUAAAAUGGGGAUCAUCACAGCUACGGUUCACUGAACACUAACUCUGUGCCAGGUGCCAGUCAUUUGAUCUUAUGAGAUAGGGACACAAGUUACUGUGUCCAUUCUAGAGAUAGGAAAACUGAGCCCACUUAGAGUUUAAGUAAUGGCCCACAGCCAUAUACCUAAUGUGUGGUGGAGUCUGGAGAUGAACCCAACAAUCUGGCUCAUAAUCCCCACUCUUAACCCCAAGCUGUGGAGCGUGAGAAUGGUUGCCCUCUCUAUUUUAUGAAGGAAUUAAAUGAGUGACUCUGUGUGUGCUGCAUGAACUGCUUUGCAAGGUCAGAAGCUCCUUGGUGAUCUUAGCAGCACCCAUCGCUCUGAUGUUCUGCCCUCACAUGGAGCGGUGGGGUGAGGAGGCUGAUGGACCCAGGGUCCAGGGUCUUCAGGAAAUCAUUCAAUCUCUCUGAGCCUCAGCUUCCAAGUCUUGGAAAUAAGCACAACAAUCUUACCUACUCCUCAAGCUCCUGUGGGAUAGAAACAAAACAAGGAACGUUGGGAGCCCCGAGAACAGCUGUAAAGGACUGAUAUGACGGCUCACAUUUACUGAGCACGAACCACGUGCAAGGGCCUGCCCGGAGCCCAUUAUGCAGUGUCUCGUCUAGACUCACAGGAGCGCUAGGAGGUCAGGGCUGUACGAAACUGAUUUACAGAAGAGGAAACAGGCUCAGAGGUCGGGUGACUCACCCAGCAUCACAGCCAGCCACAGCCCAUGUCCUCACCACAUGCUCCCACCACAGCCACCCCCCUCACCAGAAAGUGGUUAGGAAAGCUCUCUACUCCUUCCUCUGUGAAGCCUUCCGGAUGACCACCUCUGGGCAUCCACUCACUUACCCCAAUGCCUCCUCCCUCAUGCGUGUGUUCCAACCACAACAAGCUUAUUCCCAAGUGUAAUGCCUGUCUUUAGCCAUCCUUCUCCCCGACCUGCUUGUGUCUCCCAUGAGACUCUUUCAGAGCAGUUGUUUUUUUGGGGGGCGGGGGAUGUGCAGUGAGACUAUUUUCCCAUUUCCCCUGUUCCUGUCUCUGGGUUCUGGCCCAGAACUCUGCCCAGACUUGGAUGUUAGGAGUUUGUAACCUUGAACCACCAAGCUUAGGGAUGGCUGCUCUGGACACCAGACCUCGCUGGAAUAAUGAAGCAGGGCAGGCAAAGGCUAAUGCUGCAGGAGAUAGGAGCUCCACUCUUGGAAUUAAUCCAGAGGAUGUGCUGCGUGAAAGCUGCUCGUCUCAGGACUCCUGGGAUGGCAGGGAGGGGGCUGGGCUGAGGAGGGCGGAGACACCCGUCAGCACAAGUCCUCUUACUGCUCCUCGCGGGGACUGUGCCCCACUCCUCACAUCUUAGAGACACCAAAGCCCACCUGCUCUCUGCUCCAAGUUGAACUCUUCCCCAGUGGUGUCUGCUUCGGCUCCAGGGCCAUUUCAGUGAAAAGGAGGAAGGUGAACGGACAUUGUACACAUCAGUCCUUUCUCUUGUAAAAUCACUGCUUUGCCUUCAAGGAAUGGAAGGAAAAAGGCAAAGGUUGAAUUUACAAAGCAGAUACAAUACUGUCUCCCUCUAUCUCCAGAGAAAGCUUUUUUUUUUUUUUUUUUUUCCCUUGACGCCUCCCAACUGACUGGAACCAACAGUAUGUCUUCUGGUGCCCUCCUGCUCCCCGCGGCUUCAGCUAAAUCUGGAAGUUGUCAAGUCGGCUUCAUCUGGGUUUAAUUUAACCAGAACUUACAGAAUACCGUGGGGAACAGGAGAAGGAUAAAUCACUGUCCCUGGCUGGUCUCACGGGGACCCUCAGCCAAACAAAUAAAACCUCGAGAAGGAGGAAGUCCAGGCAGGAGAGAGCUGAUGUCCGGGACAAGGGUGGGCAGCCGGCGUUGGAGGGGCUGCGAAGGGGACAGAGGUCAGAGUGGACUCAAAAUGGGGAGAAGCAGUCCAGUUUUCUCUUGGUUUUAUCAAAUAAGCAGGAUUUUCCAAGAUAAACAUGACUGAGGAUGUUCUUACCCCCGGGGGUGGGCACAGCCUCACCAAAGGCGUUGAGCCGGGAAGGAACCAAGCUGACCUCUGCAUCCAGCUCUUUUCUCUACUUUUCCUACUGUGGGAGCACAACCAGCCUGGAUUUCUAUUUUGAAUGAAUAGAAGAGACAUGUCCUAAAGAUGGGGGAAACCAGACGGAAGCUGUGACUCUUCCAGGGGGUUGUUGGCAUCAAAAAAAGCACCCUGCACCCCGAGGAGAAAGCACAGGAUGGGACUUCCAGAGACCCAGAGGCGGGACUUUCAGCACUACUGAACAGCUGGGUAACCUUGACCUGCCACUCACCCUGGCCUCAGUCUCCUCACCUGGACAAAAUCCUUUUGCCCUUGAGUUCCGGGCUGCGUGCCUAUCUCCCUGGGCUCCUUUGGGAAGGACCUGGGGCAGUGGCUGAGCACCGUUAGGUGGAGCCAGUGACCCAGCAACAACACAUUCUCAGCAGUUGAGACACCCUCUUCCCCAAACCAGAAGGAUCGAGGCUGGUUCUGACAUGUGGAAUUUCAGCCUGAAACGACCGGGACCCCACGGACAGCUGCUCCUUUCACCUCGUGCCCAGCUGCGUGCCAGACUCAGCACUUUCUGGAUCCAGUCCUUACUUCCUCCUCUAUCAAAUGCCAAAUUCCCCGGUGAAAGGUUUAGGGUUUCCUGAGGGUUUGUGAGACGUUACUUCUUACAACAAUAAAGCUGUGUCCAACUUCCCUCAAGAUAUUUGUGGGGUUUUUUCCCCCCAGUGACUACAUUGUCCAUCUCCCGUACCUCCAUCCUAUUCCCUAGGCUGGGCAAUCUCAAUCUCUCUCCCCCUUCCCUCCCCACUUAGCAAACAGAGGAUUCUUUGUGGGAGCCCCUCUUCUUAGAAUGCAGAUGGAUUAUAAAUAACAAAUCGUUUCCCAUCACGCAGAAAUUAGGGAAGUGAGGAAAUCAGAUGGAAAGUAGAGCCAGGCUAGAGAAACAACAAAGACAAGAGUGUCUCUUGCACGCAAAUACGGACCUGGCAGCCCUGUGCAUUCCCAUGAGACAGCCCCAGAGGGGGGACCCUGGGCGGCUCAGAGCAGAAAGCACGAUCUGGGCCACGAAGCACAGCCUGCCCACCAGCUUCGGAGCAGUGCCGCGUGACAGACGGUUAGCCGUCACAGGAGCCGCUCCUUUGACAAGGAACGGAACGUUAGCUGGGUAUCUGUGACAUCCCCAGCCUCCCUUGCAGCAAGCGAUGGCCGUGUGGGCUGUGAGCACAAGAGGUAUCUUACUUCUGGGUCUUGCCAGGGAAAGGGCUGGGCGUGUGUUUCCUGGGACUUCUGACGCUUUCCUUCUGGCCGAGGAGCCAGGAGAACUGUGCCCAGAGAUGGGAACCCCGUGUUGGGUGGCAGAGCCCCUGGAAGGAAAAGAAGCUUCUUCGUUGAAGUCGCUAUAUGUCCGAGGCCUCUUAGAAAACCAGCGCAGCCUGCAUUCCGACGCAGCAGCUUCUUCUGUACUGAGGCAGAGAGAGGCUGUCCACACAGUUCACCUCUUCCACGCCGAUUUGAAGUGUCCCCCUUAUUGCAGGCUAUGCCAUCUCCCCGGGCAGCCAAGGUGGCAGGUACAAGUGGUGAAGUAGAAGACACAUGGCGAAAGGGAUAGACCUUAAAAGCUAGUAUUGAAGGAACAAAAUGAGUCCCCAGAACAAGAUUUAUGGCACAAUAACAUUUAUGUAAAUUAAGCCUCCCAUCAAGCCCACAGCACUUAUUUCAAGGAUUUACGUGUAUAUUCAAGGAUAUAUAUAUGAAAUCAUAAAGGGAGGCAAGGGGAAAAAAUAAAACAUUUACAGGCAAGGGGCCUUACUCAGACAGAUGAUGGUAAUUGCUGGGAUCUGACGUUCACACACACACACGUGCACGCACGCACGCACCUGUGACAAGGGGAGCAGGAACAUGGCGGGGGGGGCGGUUGGGGUGAACGAAAUGGGGCCUGGGAUCUGCACGUGCGGUAAGAUAUUUCCACUGGAAAGAACAGGACCGGGUCUGGGUAAGCUACAGAAUUUCAGGAUUUUUCAGAACGUGAUUUUUGGCCUGAGUGUGUCUGCGUGUGAAAUGAAAACAUGAAGGUCUUAAGUCUUAUCGAAUAGUUUCCCAGGAUUGUCAGUUGCUUAAACAUUCAAUUUAUGACAGGACAAGUCCUAAAAACAAGCAAAACAAAAAAUCCCUCAAGACCCCCACCUUAUUGCCUUAUGUCCUGUGUGUUUUCUUUUUUUGUUAAUGAAGAUACUUGCAUAUGAAAUAUCUCAGGUUGCUCUCUAGCUAUGUUUAAUUUUGCGGGUUUAACGUAAGGGGAAAAACCCCUCUGCCUCCUUUAAUUACAUUUUUGAACUUUGUGAUACAAAAGGAAAGUAGCUGGGGAACAGUAGACAGACUAUUGCAACUUUUUAAAUCUUGCACGCACACGCAUCAUUGGUAACCAGCGGAGCCUUCACCUGUCCUGAAAAUGCUUGCAGAGGGAGGGUGAGGAACUGAAUUGGUUGCAUCUGGUGAAUCAUAGGAAACAAACAAAACACAACUUACUAAACUCUGAAGUCUGCCAACAAUAACACAGGCUGAUUUUCCUCACAAUGCUUGGGGCUCGAGAGCUGAAAUGUGGCGAGGUGUACGCAGGGACCAAACUAUUUCCCGCAGGGAUUCUUCCUCAGUGAAGUGCGAAUCCGAGGGCCCAAGGUGAUUUCCUAGAUAUGUAGGAAGGCCAGACCUGCAGUGAGCAAAGCCACAGUGAGGCUGCCAAGGAUGUCCAAAUACAUAGGACAGAAGGGGGACCACCUUUUAUUAAGGUGGAACUGGAGACAAAUGCCAUGCAGGUGUAUGGACAGCUGAUGUCAUCCAGGUGUGUAGAUAGUUGACUAUCUCAGGGCCACAAUCUUGGACUCCUGAACUAUGAGAAUUUAUGGAGACCUUCAGGAUUGUCUAGGUCUCCUCCCCAACCUGCUUUACAGAUGAGGACAUGGAGAUCCUGAGUUGGAUAGGGCUUGCCCUGGGUGACUGAGAAAGUUAUUAUAAGUGUGGGAGUUUGCACCCAGGUGUCCUGGUUCAUAGGCUGGAAACAUUCAUUUCCCCCAUAUACACCUUUUCAAGCAGUUUGCUCCUGUCCAGCUCACUCCUACAAGAGCCUGGAUGGUGAUUCAGGUCCCAGCCUAUCUUAUGGACUCCACCUGAUCCAGGGGUUCAGUAGCUUAGAUUUUGCCUUAGACAUUUUAUUAGCUAUUAAUUGGGAGGAUGUGGUGGUUGUUCCCAACAUCCCAUGAAGAAUGAUGCCUUUCUUUUCCAUACUCAUCUGACCAUGAUGAGAAUUCAUGUCAUAUAUAACGAGCUCUUAAAAUUCAUUAAGCAAAAGAGAGUUCCCUGCAGCGCUGGUGGUCAAUGUGAAUUGGGCCGUAUCUUGUGACUUAGAAAUUUCCUUUUGCUGAAUGGCCCCAGGAGAAUUCUCCCCAAGGAGAAAUAUGGGAACAUGUUGAUUUGAUUUGAUUUUGAUUUCUCUGAAUUCAAAUCCUGAGUUUUUGCAAAAUAAAUAACGAAUACAGAUCUGUAUUAAGAAUAUUUUGGGCAGCUAGAAAACAUCAUCACUGAUCAUAUGCUUUACUUUCAAUCCAAAUAUUAAUAUAUGGAAUAUUCUUUUCCAGCUUUAUGGAGCUAUCACUGACAUAGAACAUUGUGUAAAUUUAAGGUGUACAAAUGAGUUGAUUUGAUACCCUUACAUAUUGCAAAAUGAUUACCACUGUAGCAUUAGCUUACCCCUUCAUCAUGUCACAUAAUUACAAUUCCUUUUUUGGGGAUGAACAUUUUAGAUCUACCCUCUUGCCAACUUUAAAAUAUAUUGUACUUUAAUAUUAUAUACUAUUACUUUAGUCUUAUUAAUAGUCCCCAUACUGUACAUUAGCUCUCUUAUAACUGGAAGUUUGUAUCCUUUGACCAACAUCUGGAACAUCUUUAUCAUAGUAAGUUUUGUAAAAAACAAAAAGUUGCAAACAACCUAAAUGUCCAUCAGUACUUUUUUUCUAUGGGUUUAGACAUAUGUAGGUAAAUGCGCAGGGGAGGCGCCUGUGUAACCUCUGAGGGAGGGACUGGGAUUAAGGUCAAGGGGACUUUAGGCUUAUCCGUUUCAUUUUUAUUAAACAGGGGAAUGUGUUCAUGUGCGCCUUAUGUUAUUAAAAAUAACUUGAAAAAGAUAAACUGUAGAGAAAGCACCCAACUGGUAUAAUAGACUUGUCUUCCAAUACCUAUCAUGUAAGAAGAGAGGGAGGGCUGGAAUCCACUGCUGGCUCCCCUGGCAGCUGCCUUGUGCCCCCUUGGCUGGCAUCCCAGCCACGCUGGGGAAGUAGGGAGCCAGGAUUAUAUAGAUUCACCACUUGAUGGCAGACUGUAGGACACGCACACUUGAGCGUACAUCAGAAUAAUCUGCAGUGCUUGUGAAAAAUUCAUUUUCCCAGGUGUCACCAUCUGUAAUUCUGACUUAAUGGGUCUGUCUUGUGAUCUAGCAAUCUGCAUUUUAAAUAAGCACCAGAGUUGAUUCUGAUGAAGGUGGUCUUUGGGCCACACCGGGAGAAGAAUAAUGCCUUCCUGCUAUUCACCUUUUGCAGGGACACUGCUCAUGAUCUCCUCGUAUGAAAGCCAGGGCUGUCUCCCUGGUGACAAAGAUAAGACACAGGGAAGACGCACCAUCCCAGACAUUCCAGCUGCCAAACUAUCAACUCUGAAUGUCAUGCGCGUGUGCACACAUGUAUAAUGCACUUGAGAGACACCAUGAGGACCAUUCCAGUUCUGCAUUUUGUCUAAAAAAAUGUUGGAAAGGGCCUCUCACCCUAGAUAGCGACACUAGAAUGAAUUUAGAUGUGUCUACAUAAUAAUUCAGAGAUGGACAUAAUGAGAUAUGGUUUGGGUUCAUCACUGAGUUUUGUCAGGAGACAUAUAUUAAUGGAAACCCAAAUGAGGGGCUUCUGCAAGGUCAAGGUUCCCAUCUAAAUGUGACAACAAAGAGCCCUUCACUGCUAAAUGGCACAAUGCAGAUGCAAGAUGAUUUUUGCCAUCCAUAAAAGCCAUUUCUAGCUGAUAAUGAAGCAGGGCUGGGAUCAAAAUGGGAAAGCAAAUUGCCUUGUCUCUGUCUUUCAAAAAGAAUGUAAUAAAAAUGGCUUUCAAGUGUUUUGUUUUUGUCUCUGUGUUUAUUUAUCUAUUUUUGUAUUUGUAUAUAUUUUCUACUAGUAGAACUGAGAUACAUCAUCCAUGCUGCUAAUGUCUAAAGUAUUGGUGAAAGUCUAAUCAAAAGUGAAAAAAUAAAAUGUGCUGAGAUCUUGAAGAUCUUGACAAGUUGGUCAAACCUUGUGUCUUUUAGAGGUUCUUUGUACAGAGUGUCACCAGAGAAGGUGACCUGGCUGGGUCACGGAUCUUUAGGGAUUCAAUGAGGCCCAGGAUGGUUGUAGUGAGGCCGUCUUUGAUGAGAAAUCUCAGAUAUGCCAUGGGCAAGCAGGGGCUAGAACUGCUCUAGAAUGUUGCCAGGGCCCUAGCAACUGAGCCAAACUGGAUCACCCCAACCCUGCAUAAUCACACCAAAUACAGGCUGCAUUGUCAGCAUCUUUCGUGGACCACUUGGGAUAUUGUUAAAGACUACAUUUUGAAAUGAAACAAUCAGCAAAGAGGAAGAAGGAAGCAAUUUCAUCCAGUUAUUCCACCCCAGGCCCUGACAAGGAAGCCGGGAUUGCUGGCAGUCCUCCUCUGGGAAGAAAUGACGCUAAGCAGUGGCUGGGGAAAGAAGGGGAUGGAUUCCUGACACAAAACUCCAGCCUGCAGAACACUAUGAUGAUUAGAAAGACAUAAUGAGCACUCACUUCUUGUUCAUUUCCUGCCACCUGAGCACUCAUACACAUUCAUGAGGGUCUGAAGUUGUGCACGGUUCACAUAAACACAGGAAGGGGAACAUAUUUAAGUAACAUGGGCAGUGCUGAUAUGGCUGAGUUGAAAAAUGCUAUGAACGCUUUAAAGACUCUUGUGCUUGAAGGGGCACCUGGGUGGCUCAGUCGUUAAGCGUCUGCCUUCGGCUCGGGUCAUGAUCCCAGGGUCCUGGGAUCGAGCCCUGCAUCAGGCUCCUUGCUCGGCAGGAGGCCUGCUUCUCCCUCUCCCACUCCCCCUGCUUGUGAUCCCUCUCUCGCUGUCUCUCUGUCAAAAAAUAAAUAAAAUCGUUAAGAAAAAAAAAAAA